UGGAGAGCGGAGCGGUUCUGUGCGGAGCGGCGGCAGCGGCCUCCCUGUGUCCGUGCCCAUGGCGCUGCCGGUGACGCGCCGUGCCCCUAUCACUAGAGGGAUGGAGAAUGCUGUGUCUGACCUUAGAAGUAAAGCGAAAACUCAUGUGACUGGCAAAAGGGCUGCUUUGGAAGAAAUAGGAAAUAAAGUUGCAACAAGAGGAACACACAUAUCUAAGAAAACAGAAUGCCCCAAAGCAUCUAUAAAGCCUGUGAAAGGACCUAGCAAGGUGACAAAUGGAAUUGUACUGCCUAAAGCUCCAGCUGCUGUAAAUCAAGCAAACAAAGAAACUGAUGUUCCAAAGGUUCUGUCUCCUGUCCCUAUGGAUGUAUCCAUGCAGGAGGAGGAUUUGUGCCAGGCCUUCUCUGAUGUGCUGCUCAACAACGUAGAAGACAUCGAUGCAGAGGACUGGGAGAACCCCCAGCUGUGUAGUGACUACGUGAAAGACAUCUACCUGUACUUGAGGGAGCUCGAGCUGCAGCAGUCUGUCCGUCCGCACUACCUGGACGGGAGGACGAUCAACGGGCGCAUGCGCGCCAUCCUGGUGGACUGGCUCGUGCAGGUGCACUCGAGGUUCCGCCUGCUGCAGGAGACCCUGUACAUGUGUGUGGCCAUCAUGGAUCGCUUCCUGCAGAAUCACCCAGUACCUCGCAAGAAGCUUCAGCUGGUGGGCGUAACAGCGCUGCUUGUAGCUUCAAAAUAUGAAGAGAUCUUGUCUCCUGAUGUAGCAGACUUUGUUUAUAUUACUGACAAUGCCUACACCAGUAAUGAAAUUAGAGAAAUGGAAAUGAUUAUUCUUAAAGAAUUAAACUUUGACCUGGGGCGACCUCUUCCAAUUCACUUCUUAAGAAGAGCAUCAAAAGCUGGGGAGGCCGAUGCCAAGCAACACACUCUGGCAAAAUACCUGAUGGAGCUGACCCUGAUAGACUAUGACAUGGUGCACCACCGGCCCUCAGAGAUUGCAGCUGCUGCCCUGUGCCUGUCUCAGAGGAUUCUGGGACACACCAAAUGGGGUACAAAGCAGCAGUACUACACUGGCUAUGCAGAAGAUGGCCUUGUGAUGACCAUGAAACAUAUGGCCAAGAAUGUAGUCAAAGUGAAUGAGAAGUUAACAAAAUACACUGCUAUCAAGAACAAGUAUGCAAGCAGCAAACUACUGACCAUCAGCACCAUCCCUCAGCUGAACAGUGAGAUCAUCAAGGAUCUGGCUGCAUCACUGCUGUGAGGCCCUGGGCAGCCAGGGCUGAUGGUGUGUGCACUUUGUCUCCUGCUUUUGUACAUAGCAUUCCAGCUCCCACAGACAGUUCCGACUCACACUGAAGGGAGCUAAGGUAGAAGAAUUGGAAGGCUCCUGAAUGCUGUGCAGGGACUAGAGAUGUGGAACUAUGGGCAUGAAACCUCCUGAAAGCAGCUCACCCUUGAAACCUCCUCCACUUCCUGAAAAGAACCCCCUUAGGUUUUUUGUUACCUGUUUGCUUGCCCACCUUUUUCCCCCCUGCUUCUCCAAUAAACCUCUGCACCUGGGAUCAUAGAGUCAAACCCAGCAUAAGGCAGUUCUUCUUGUCACCUCCUUGGCACUUUGCUUGCUUUUGUCUGUGUUUCUAACCUAAGUGUCAGCAUCUGUAUGCCCAGGGAAUACAACCAUGUAAGUAAUGCAA